UGGAAGAGUCGCGCGUCAGUCGGGAUGUGCGCCCCGCCGCCGCGGCUGGCACGCGGGCUCGAGUGAUGUGUUCUGACCGCCUCGGGUAUAUGAAGCGGUAGUGAUCGGUGGUAGACGGUGAUGCCGGUGUUAUAAGCUCAGACCGAUGGAAUUAUCCAGUGGGAGCAGACAGUCAGUACCGGAUGUCGGAAAAGCUUCAGUGCCUACCUGGUUUCUUUAGCUGGCGGGAAAAUGUCCGAUCUCCACGACGCCGCGGACCAUAUCGACAGUGAAGAGAUUGGACACGCUUCUCCCCGUACCGCCGGCUACUGCUGCUGUAAUAGCGGCUGCGGGCAGUGCAGCCCCGGGUGCAACAGCUGUGCUAAGUGCUGCGGCAGCUGCAGCAGCUGCGCUCCAUGCUGCGACAGCUGCGCCGGCGGUCGUUGCCGUCCGUGGCUGGUGGUGGUCGCCUGUUUCUGGCUGAGCUUCCUAUCGGACGGCGUGGCCAGCUGCUUUGGCGUGCUGCUGCCGGAGCUGGCCGAUCGGAUCGGAGCCUCCAUCGCUGACACGUCCUGGGCGGGUAGCGUCCUCUGCGGCGGCCAGCUGAUCGUCGGUCCGCUGGUCAGCGCGCUGGUGAACAAGCUCGGUUGUCGCCAGGUGGUGAUUGCCGGCAGUCUGAUGUCAUCAGUGGCCUUCAGCCUCAGCGCAUCGGCCUCCGAAAUCGGCCUCUUUAUCGUCAUGUACGGCAUCCUUGGAGGUCUCGGACUUGGAAUGAUGUACCUGCCCUCGGUGGUCGCCGUUAGCAUUCAUUUCGACACGAAUCGGGCACUGGCCACCGGCAUAGUCGUCUGUGGCUCGGGUGUGGGCACCUUCUGUCUGGCCCCGCUGACGCAGUACCUUUUAGACGUGUCCGGUUGGAAGGGCGCCCAGCUGGCCACUGCCGCCCUCCUCCUCACCGGAGCCCUGAUGGGCGGCGUUAUGGCGGAGCCGCAGUCGGAUUCCGAGCCCUGUCGGCCCUGCUGCUGUCCUGUGCCGCCGUCCCCGACACCGGGCCGCCAGCCUGAGACCAGCACUGGGCCAGACAGCGAACAGAACUCCGGAACGGGAGAACACCGCCGCUCCCUGACCGGGGCGAUAGAACCGCUCCCCAUCACAGCGGACGGCCGUCGGAAGGCUGGACCCGCCUCUCCCGACGACACCUUCCUGGCUACCAACACCGGCAGUUAUGUGAAGAUGGCCUCACCAGCGGUACCGUCUAACGCAGGGGACAUGGAGGUGGUCGGUCCUCCGGCGGCUGCUCCCCCUCCGGCAGUGUUCCUGUUCCCCGAGGUGGUAAUACAGAGCGCCAGCUCCACCGGCGACACGCUCAGUGAGGGCGCCCCGUGCUCCCAGCAGUCAGCCGAGUCGGUCGUUACGGGACGGCAUAUCGACCCGGUCGGUCCGCUCCCAGACGAGCCUCUCCACCGUGAGACGCUGGCCGCCUCCCGUUCCCAUCUGCUCCGCUCCCUGGGUGACCGAUCAUCCCACCUCCGUCCCGGCGCUCCCAGCGAGUCCCGUCCCGUCUCCGGUCACCUCCGGCCCGUCUCCGGUCACCAUCGACCCAUCUCCGGUCAGUCCCGUCCCGUCUCCGGUCACCUCCGGCCCCUCUCUGACCUGCUCUCUGACCUGCUCUCUCCCCGUCUGGCCGUCUCCACGCCCUGUAACCAGUCCCACACCCCUUACACACCAGCAGCCGGUCGGGGCCCAGUCCCCUCUCAUCUCCGUCCCCUGCAGAGGGCAGAUGUGUUCUUCUCGGGGAGAGUUCGGACGGUGGCGCGGGUCGCAGUCACUCCCACAGGAGCUCUAGUCAGUCCCUCCAGUCUGCCACCCGCCGCUGACACUGACGUGCAGCGGAGGCUCGCCCUGACCUCAGUGGGCAGCGCUGACACCGUGCCGGUCGGAGAAGCCACGCCGUCUGACCGAGCCGCCGGAGACUCGUUUGCCGUGCUGAAGGAGAUGCUGAACGUCUCACUGCUGAAGGAGACGCCGUUCCUGCUCACCUGCAUCGGCUACUCCUUCAGCAUGCUGGGAUACUUCGUGCCAAUCGUCUACAUACUGGACGAAGCUGUACAGCAUAAAGUCAGCCCGCCGCACGCCUCGAUGCUGGUGGCGGUCAUGGGCAUCUCGAACACGGUGGGUCGGCUGGCGGUCGGCGUGCUCAGCGACAUGCAGCACAUGGACGUGCUGUUCCUCAACAACGUCUCCAUGCUGGGCUCCGGCCUAGUGGCGCUGCUCAUCCCACUCUGCGAGACGUACUCGACCUACGCGGUGGUCACGGCCGUCUUCGGUCUGCUCUCAGCACGCUCUCCUCCCUGGUACUGGUGGAAAUGGUCGGCCUGGCACGGCUAACGAACGCCUUCGGUCUGACGCUGCUCUUCAGAGGAGUGGCCGCUGUGCUGGGCACGCCUCUGGCAGGAUUUGUGGCCGAGCGAACCAACAGCUACGACGAGCCGUUCUACAUGACCGGCGGUCUCCUGAUCGCCGCAGCGCUGCUGGGUUUCCUGGCCAGCGGCUGGGGUCGCCGGGGCUGCCGCAGCGCGCCCGCCGAGAUCUCC
rnacentral:misc_RNA from 1 species